rnacentral:tRNA from 1 species
GACCACGUGGCUCAGUUGGCAGAGUAUUGGGCUAGCAUUCCAAAUGUCGUAGGUUCGAUUCCCACCGUGGUCA